rnacentral:rRNA from 1 species
GUAGGUGGCAAGCGUUGUCCGGAAUUAUUGGGCGUAAAGCGCGCGCAGGCGGUUCUUUAAGUCUGAUGUGAAGGCCCACGGCUCAACCGUGGAGGGUCAUUGGAAACUGGAGAACUUGAGUACAGAAGAGGAAAGCGGAAUUCCACGUGUAGCGGUGAAAUGCGUAGAGAUGUGGAGGAACACCAGUGGCGAAGGCGGCUUUCUGGUCUGUAACUGACGCUGAGGCGCGAAAGCGUGGGGAGCAAACAGGGAUUAGAUACCCUGGUAGUCCACGCCGUAAACGAUGAGUGCUAAGUGUUAGGGGGGUUUUCCGCCCCCCUUAGUGCUGCAGCUAACGCAUUAAGCACUCCGCCUGGGGAGUACGGCCGCAAGGCUG